GGAAAAUAGAAGACAAUGACAUGUUUAGGGAUAUCAAUUUCUCUUUCUUGACCACUUAUCAAAGAAGUCUUUCUUGAUUAAAUCUACUCCCAUUACCCGAUCUCACCCUUACAAAGCAGGUUUGUGCUUUCAUAGAAUUUUUCAUAUUCACUAGCUUUUACAUGCUCAUGUUCAUUUUAUAAGCAGGUUUCAUUGUAUUUUACAGUGCCUAACUCAGCUUCUCGCCUGCUGGUCAGGCUCUGGAAAGCUGAGUGAAAACAGAAGGCAGCCAGAAGGUGCUGUGGGGACAACUUGCAAUAGUGUCACAUGGCCCUCCUCCCUCUUUCUAUGUGCCCAUGUCCACCUCUAUCCUUGUUGCCACUUCCAGAAGCUUUGUAACCAUGGGCAAGUUACUGAAUCUCCCUGGACUUCAACUUUGACAUUUGUAAAGUAGAGAUGAUAAAGCUUUAGGUCCAAGGCAGUGGUCUCAGCCUUGGCUGCGUAAUGGAAUCAUCUGAAGAACUUUAAAAAAUACUGAUGACUAUGUUGGAUACAGUGAAUUCUGAUUUCUCUUCAAAGAAUCAGUAUGUCAGUAUGUUCAGUUCUUUAUCCUCCAUUUUAAAGUUUAACUUCCUCGUAGUUUCAGUAAACAAGCUUUUCCACCAGUUUUAAUCAGUAUUUCACAUCUGUUCCCCUGGUCACCUGCUCUGUCCUGACUCAUCCCAGUCACCUGCUUUGACCUGAGUCACCCCUGGUCACCAGCUCUGACCUAAGUCACCUUUAGUUACCUGUUCCUAACCGUCCUUCCUGCAAAACUACCCACCCUGCCACUCUGGCUGAUACCCCUGCUCUCUUUAAAAUAGCCAAUCAGAAUUAGCUUAGACUGUGUGGUCCAACCCUCGCCAAGAGGGGAAGGACACAGCAGUAGGGGGCUACCUGCAUCAGGAAUAAGAACCCCUUCCCCUCCCUUGUUCAGGUAUGCUCUUGCCAUUACUCCAUUCGUGACUCGCACCCUUCUAUAGAAGUAAAAAUUGCAUUGCUGAGAAAAUUAAAUUUAUGUUUGAGUGCUAUUUCUUUGCGGCUCCAAGGAACAAGCAUUUUGUUUCUAACAAUCGAGGAACAGGCAUUUUGUUUCUAACAACUGGGUGCAUCCCAGAGCUUCUAAAUUCAUCAGCGUGGUUGUUGCCAGGGAAUGGGAAGCUUUAAAGCUCCCCAGGAGAUUGUAAUGUCCAGCUGAGGUUGAGAACCGAUAUUCUAAGGAGUGUUAUGAUAAUUAAAUGAAACAGAGGGGAAAAAAGCAGCCUAUAAGUAGUAGGAGGUAAAAAAUAAUUUGUUUCUUUCUUUCUCCAGUUAGUUUUACUAUUUAUGUUGAUAGCUGUAUUUGAUCCUAGCUAGAAGCUGAG
rnacentral:lncRNA from 1 species